UGGGGAAUCUUGCGCAAUGGGGGAAACCCUGACGCAGCGACGCCGCGUGCGGGAUGAAGGCCUUCGGGUUGUAAACCGCUUUCAGCAGGGACGAGGCCUUAUGGUGACGGUACCUGCAGAAGAAGCUCCGGCUAAAUACGUGCCAGCAGCCGCGGUAAUACGUAUGGAGCAAGCGUUAUCCGGAUUCAUUGGGCGUAAAGCGCUCGUAGGCGGUCUGUUAGGUCGGCAAGUUAAAUCCGGGGGCUCAACCCCCGUCCGCUUCCGAUACCGGCAGACUUGAGUUUGGUAGGGGAAGGUGGAAUUCCUAGUGUAGCGGUGGAAUGCGCAGAUAUUAGGAGGAAUACCGGUGGCGAAGGCGACUUUCUGGACUUUUACUGACGCUCAGGUACGAAAGCGUGGGGAGCAAACAGG
rnacentral:rRNA from 1 species